rnacentral:lncRNA from 1 species
AAAAUACUUAAUUAUGGGAAUGUAUGGUUGAAAAUGAAUUUAAAAAAAAAAAGUUUUGAAAUAAUGGAAAUCAUAUAAGGGGCAAAUUUCACUCAAAUAAUUUGACAGCUUCCGACAAAAAUUCUAAGAAACAAUUAAAUCACUUACAUGCAUAGGUUGGAUUGAGUCCAUUUUUUACGACGUGCAUUGCAUAAAUUAAGUUAAACAAACACAAAAAAGUCUAAAGUCAAUCAGGAAUAGAUGUUUAAAAAAUCUCUGUAUGAUCAACAGAACAAUAAAAAAUCCAAUAUAUCACAAAAUAUAAGAUUUUUAACAUAAAAAAUAAACUGGCCACUUCAAUCCUUCCGCUUCUUUAACAACAUCAUAAAUUGUAAAUUCCACAAUUCGAGUUAGUGGAUUUAUUGUUUGUCGAAUAAUUUGAUUAUUCACUACAAAAUAUUUGAUAGAUUUGAGCACAAAAUCAAUAAAACCUGUGUCUCCAAUAGAUUUUCUUGCCUCUUCCCUUAGCUCAUGCCUGGACAUACCACAUUUUCUAUUAAGAUUAUUAGCUUUGUGCUCAUUCAAGGGCUUUAUAAUUACGACUAGCACAAGCUUAAGUCUCCUAGAAGCCCAUCCGCAAUCACAUUUUGCCAAUAAAUUCACAAAUGUUCUGAAACUCAUCGGACUGUCCUCUGUUUUCAACUUAUAUCCACAAGGAUUAGCAAAAAUAUAUUGCAACAAAUCACUAAUAGUAAUUGUUUCGCGUGAGUUAGUCGCUAACAAUUAAAAAGGGAUCAGACGAUUGUGUAAGGGACAAACCUCUUGAAACAAAGUCCCAAAAAUGGGCGUUUUUAUUGGCAAUGACUUUACAAUUAGAAAGUAAAAACAGAAUGCCUCCAAGAGGCGCAAGCACACGAGUUACUGUAAAAGAAGUGUUUAAAUUUAAACUAAGAAAUUGAAAGUUACAUAUUCUCUGUUUGAUAGUGUUUGAUUCGGGGUCCUUAGCUCUAUGUCUCUUCUUCCUUUUAUACUCCCUGGAUGAUGUCUUUGUGAUCAACCGCCUAAAAAUUGCUUGAUCAUUCUAUAACUGCCCACUUUCCUCGUAAUGGCCAAGUUGUCAUGGAACUGCCUUUUCUAACUGCUGCCAUUACUCUUUGUCGUUCAACCGUCUUCAAUUGAAUUCCUUAAAUUGUGGAACGUGAUAGGGCUGCUUAAUAACUGCUUUGAUAAUUGCGCUUCUUGAUAACCAUAACACUUCAUGUUUGCUAAGACCUUGGGCGAUUCGAAGGUUUGGGCGAGAAUAGAGUAGCAGCUCUGGGCGACUGCAUGGCACUCCAUUCGCUUAGAUCCUGGGCGACUUGCAAGCUUGGGCGAUGGUGUUACCGCGUUCAUGGGCCUCCCUAUUUGGGCCUUCAUCCUGAAUUGUCUGAUUGGGCUUCUUUCUUUGGACUAUAUGAUUUGGGGAUCCUCCAAUUGGGCUUCAUUCCUUGGGUCGUUCGAUUUGGGAUGAAUUUUUAUGUGUCAAUAAUUACCCCCCCAAUAUGGCAGAAUUAAUACCAAUUAUUAAAUUUUGCCAUAUUCACUUUGUGUUUCCAACAACAUUCGAAAUUCCCAAGAAUUUCAAUCAUUGUUUUCUUCCAUAGCUUGAAAAGGCGCGACGUUUUGCAAACCCUUAUAACCCCCAAAUACGCCAUUUCACUGCACCAUUAAAUCAUGCCUCACUUUUUUCGCGCUUCUCUCUCACAAUUUUACUGUUCAUCUCUUUGCUUCCCUGCUGCGUAACUCUGAAAAACUUCAUUUCGUCCCUAAUGGCUACUUCACAAUCUCAAUCUAGCGACUCCUUUAGUUUUGAAGACUUUCAGAAACUCCUUAAUCGUCCAUAUAUAACUCCGAACUUUCUCGCACCUGCCAAUGUCGAAUUCAACGAGUUCGACCUAGGUCAUUUUUUCAACAAUGCAGAGGCAGUCGAACAAGCGGUGUUGGGCCAGCUGUUUCCUUGUACUCAAGGCCCUCCAUUUCUAAACUCUCUGCCGCUGGGGCCACUUCGCGAAAGAGGUAUUCACACUUGGCCUAAAUCUGAUGUAGUUUUUCGUAGGUGGCAUGCUCGCCUUGUGGACCAUGGUCCUACUAAGGCACUUUUUGAUAAUGCUAGGAUUUCUGAUUUGUUAGAAAUCUCUCUUCAACCUCCUACUUUUGAUUUAGCACUUUUUUCAAUCGCUUUAAGCUUCUGGUCUUCUGAGUAUAAUAUUUUUGUUUUCCUUCUUGGCCCCAUGUCUAUUACUUUAAGGGAUGCUGGGGCCCUAGUGAAUCUGCCACCUUUGGACGAUACCAUUUUUCCUGGUAUCUUGGUUUCUGGUGGCGCCCCAAAGUUUGGUAAAAACCUCACCGAGUCUUAAUCAAGCCUGCAAACCCUUCAUAACCACUCGAGCGCCGAGCCUUCCCAUACUGAGCGAGUGACCUUUCUUCUGAUUUGACUUUGUAAAUAUCUUUUGUGUGUGCCAAGUAUAAAGCCCUCCCUGAGCUAUUUACCCAUAGCGCACGAAUUGGCGUGUGGUAGGCCUCUAAAUUUAUGUUCUUUCUUUUUGGCUGCCCUCUAUAGAGGCAUGGCUUCUCUUUAAUCUCAAUUGAAGAAUGAUGCAUCUCCCACUGGCAGUGGACCUCUUUGGUUCACUCAAAUGUGGUUGAGAUCCUAUUUUCCAUCGCUUGGUGCUCCAUCAUUUUCUCGUCCUUCUACUAGCUGCUAUGGGCUAGCCAUUGAGCCCCUGGCUCCUGUAAAUAUGUCUAGAAGGGACAUUUUUUCAUUCUUCUAUUCUUUAGAUUCAAUCCCUUCCUUUUUUUCCUUUUCCUCCCUUUUUGACUCCAGACUAUGUGCAUCCUCCAUCCACUAUAGACAGCGCGAGCACCUCUCUGCUCAUUUGGAACCAAUUUUUAACCGGAAGGGAGUUAUUUCAUGAUAUUUUGACUGGGACCAAUGCCAAGGCUGAGGUAGAAAUAUAUGCUCCCCAAUUUUUUGCUCGCUAACUUGGUUUCGGCUAAACCUGGCCUGUUCCUCCUUGCUAUUCAAGGAACUUGAUAGACCGCUUCCAUAUCAUUAAUAAGGAGGAGGCAGAGGCUAUAAAUGCUCGCAAUCUUCUUUUGACGAGCCAUUUUUCAUUAGCCCCCUUCAAUUCUAGCCGUGCCAUCCAUCCCCUUUUUGAACAACUCUGGCCGUUAGUGAAGUGCAGAUUGUUUGCAACUGAUACCAAUCGAGCCUUUCAUUCACUGGACCAGCCAAGCAUUUCAUCCCCUCCUCCUGUUUUAGUCACCACUUUGUCCAUCCGGAGUCCUUCUCCUCCUCGUCGCGCUAAACAGUCUGCUCGUCCAUCUUCUUCUCUCCCUGUCAAGCCUACUGCAGCUAAAAGUGCCCCGAGCCGCAAACGGCCAGCCUCAGCAUCUUCCAUUCUGGAGGAUGAUGUUGAUGAUGAUGAUGAUGAUACCCAUCUUAUCAUCAGGAGAAAGGUGAUUAAAUUGGUUUACUGACAAGCAUGCUUUUCCAUAUUUGAAACUUUUCUGUGUACUGAUGGUUUAUUUGGACUUCUCAGAAAAGUUCAGCCUCUCCUUUGAAGGCCUUGGUGUCGACAGCUCCUACUCCAUCAUCCUCCGUUGAGGCUGCUUCAUCCAAACCAGCUGAUGAAGGGACUACGCUUAAAGAGACAUCUUCAGUCCCAAAAUCCUCAUCACAACCAAUGGAUGAGCUACCUUCUUCCCAGGGCGUCGACCCCCCAAACAUCGAAGCAGAAGGUAAUUCAGUUUUUUGAUGCUUUACCUUUGCUUAUGCCAUUGGUUUCUGAUUUGUUGCUUUUGAGUUCUGCAGAUGCUCCUAUGAGUUUGCCCGUUGUGGCAACAUCUUCUCGCUUAGACAAGGGGAAGUCCUCACGAAUGGUGGAGCCACACGUGGUAGACUUGGCUGGGGAUAUGCCAUCUUCCAAGAUUAUUGAUGAGGUAAUCUUUGCUUCACUUUUACUUCCAUCUCGUUCGUUGUAGUGAGAAUCUUCAAUAUUGGCAAUUUUCUUUGCAAGAUGCUGAUAAGAUUGUGCGUUCCAUCCAAGACUUGUUCGCUUCCUGGGGGUAAGUCAAGACAUCUCGCCCUGCUCCAACUGGUCGUCCUGCUACUUUUUCAGAGGAAGAUAUGAAGUUUCUCAAGCAGUCGAUAUUUGAGUACGUGUUCUUCAUGGAUAUGGACAUUGGUAAGGCUAGUGCUGCCAGACAUAAGGAUAAGCUUGAGCAUUUGAAUGCGAAGUUGGAGCAAGCACUGACACUUCCGUCGCUCAAUCUUUCUGCUGAUUUUAAAGCGACGUUGAAAGUUAUCCAUUCCGAGGUCCUCUCCUUGCUGGUCAAGAAUGUUGAACUGAAGGCCAAAAGUACUCAAUAUUUUCGCACCGUAUCUGAAAAAGAGUCUUUACUUCUAGAGAUCAACAAAGCUGAGGAUGAGUUGAAAGAAAUCUCUUCCGAAAUCAUGAUUGAAGACUCUUUGAUGACUAGUUUGGCUGCUUAGAUAAAGGAACUUCAAGCCAAAAUGGACGACUGCAAGGCGAGAAUGGCUGCUAAAAAGCGUAACGCCUCCCAAGGAAUUGAGCGAACUAAGUCUUUGUUCGAGCAGUACAAGAAGUUGGAAGUUGAUGAUGAUGUUGUGGCCAAAUUGAACAUCACUUCCUCUCGGUAGAACGAAGACUGGGGGAAACUUAGGGAAAGAAUUCGUUCGGUAUGGGGCGGAUUGUAAUUAAGACAUAUAAUGCUUUAACUUUUUCUUUUUGUAAUUUUGCAUUUGACUCUCCCUUUGUAACCUUGUACAUCAUUAAUGAACAUCUAUGUUAACUUCUUGUGCAUUUAUUUGACAUUUGUCUUUUAAUCGUCAAUCCUUCAAGCAUUUAACUGCUUUGUGCUAAAAAUCUUGCACAUUUUCUCUUGAUAUUUCCAUCCCUUUUCCCAAGACUUUGGGCUACUUAAUUCCAUUUAUUAGGCAGAAUGUGGCUGUUCAUAUUCUGUCUCUUCUUAUAAAUGCACGUAUGCUUCGCACUUUCCAUCUUCCAUCUUCAUUUUCAUUCUCUUCUUUGAAACCAAUUUGCUGUCAUUGUUUGGCAUUCCGACAAUCAAUCCAAAACCUCCGUCUUCUAUAAAAAUGGAUUGUUUUGUUUGGCAUUCCGACAAUCAAUCCAAAACCUCCGUCUUCUAUAAAAAUGGAUUGUUUGGUCCGCCCAUUUCACUACUUGUGUUGAUGUCACCUUUGGUAUGAGAGAUAUAGGAAAUAUUUUUUUUGGCCAGCAGCGAAAUUUUUCCCAUCAAAGUUCUUCCCAUCGUCUCUUUGUUCUUUACAAGGGGUUCGAUGAUGGAAGACAAUUUUUGGGAUGCUUGCGGGCCACCUUGCUUGCUGAGAGUACUUCUUAGCCUCUUUGCCCACCAUUUCAGUGAUGCAUUUAGGAAGGCGGUGCAAGGCCAGUCCACCCUCUUACUCGGCGAUCGACCGGGAGAUUAGCCUACUUUUAAUUGUAGCUUGUAGAGCAUCUAUUAUUUGUAUCUUGCAACUUUGUAAUGAACGUUUGAUAAUAAAGGAAUUUAUUUGAACGUAUUUCACUCUGACCUUUUUAUCCUUAAUCGUUCAACAUAUUUUGAUUACGCUUUUAUCUGUUCACUUUCCCAUAAAGAAGGAACAUAUUUUUUUCAAAGAUUUGCUGUUGAUGAAUCUCACGUGCUUAGUGCCAUCUAAAUCUUCCAAAUGAUAUGCUCCAUUGGGCAACACACUGUUUACUUUGUAUGGUCCUUCCCAAUUGGACGACCACUUCCUGUACUUUGGAUCCUUGCUAUCCAAAGGGAGUAUCAUCUUCCAAACUAAUUAGCCCAGGCUGAACGACUUGGCUAUGACUUUUUUAUUAUAAAACUUAGCCAUUCUUUGUUUUUGAACUUGCAAUCUAUCUAGGACGUCCAAUUUUAAUUCGUCCAACCCUAAUAAAUUUUGAACUAGUGAUUCGGUAUACUCAUCAUCAUUUAACUUAUGUUGCAAGCACACUCUAAUCAAUUGCACGUUGAUUUCCAUUGGCAAAACGGCCUCCUGUCCAUAAGUAAGUUUGAAAGGAGUAAUUUUGGUACUUGACCGAGGUGAUGUUCAAUAAGCCCAUAAGGCCUUAUUCAGACAUUCGUGCCAAUUUCUGGCAUUUUCAUCUAUCAUUUUUCUGAUGAUAUUUUUUAGAAUCUUAUCAGAAGAUUCUGCUUGUCCGUUGGAUUGAGCGUAAUAUGGUGUGGAGUUUACUAAUUUAACCCCAAACUCGCUCAAGAAUUUGUUCACUUGAUCCCCAUUCAAAGAUGUUCCGUGAUCUACCAUCAACGUUUGUGGAAUUUCAAACCUAUAAAUGAUGUGAUCACGGAUAAACUCUAUGAUAUUCUUUUGGGUGAUCUCUUUCAAAAGUACCGCCUCUACCCACUUGGUGAAAUAGUCGGUUGCAACUAUAACAAAAGUAUGUUGCUUGAACAAUGGGGGAUAAAUCUUUCCUAUCAGGUCUAUCGCCCAACCCUUGAACGGCCAAAGUUUAAUAAUAGGUGCCAUCUCUCUUGCCGCCGCCCUUUGUAUUGAAUCAUGUUUUUGACAUGCUAAACAACUCUUUGCAUACUGAACGCAUAAUUCUCCCAUCUUUGGCCAAAAAUAUCCACUUCUAAUAAUUAACCAUCUCAUCCUUUGGCCAGCUUGAUGAGCUCCACAUAUCCCUUCGUGCACCUCAGUCAUGAUCGUCCUGGCUUCUUGCAAACUUACACACUUUAGCAAUACAUCAUCAGAGCGCUUCUUAAACAACUCUUCAUCUAUUAGUGUAUAAUUCAGCAAACACAGCUUCAUUUUCCUACUAAUCCCUCUAUUAGGUUCUUUAAGGAACCUUUUAAUCUCUGUUCUCCAAUUCAUUGCAUCUCCAUCUUGUAUGCAGUGAAGUUCAAUCAUUCUCGCCCUUCUUUGGGUCACGGGCAAUAUGGUUCCAUACUCACAAGUAGACUUCCAAUUCAAAACCUUUGAGUACCCUGAGGCCAUUUGGGCCAACUCAUUUGUCACGUCGUUAUAUAUCCUAUUAUCGCAUUGAAGUUCUACUUGGUCGAAUUAUUCUAACAAUUCUUGGGCGAUCUCAUAUUGACUUAUAAUGGAAUCACUUUGGCAUUUAAAAUCACCAAUCAAUUGGUGAAUUACCAAUUGAGAAUCACCCCUAACGAUCACAUUUUUUUACUCCCAUAUCUAUCAUUAGUUCUAGGCCUACGAUUAAGGCUUCAUAUUCGGCCUGAUUGUUGGUGCACAUCCUGUCUAAAGUGAACGUGAACUUGUAGCAAAUCCCUAAAGGAUUAAUCAAUGCUACUCUUACUCCUGCACUUUUAGAGUUUUUGACCCAUCGAAAUACAACUCCCAAGGUUUUAGUUCGAACGAAUUGAUUUCUAAUUCAAUUUUUUCAGGCAUGUCAAGGCAUGGAUGAUCGGCUAGAAUAUUAGCCAAAGCCUGAUUUUUGACUGCCUUUUGAGGUAUAUAUUGUAUCUCGAAUUCUGAUAAAGCUAAUGUCCAAAGGCCUACCCUUUGGUGUAAAGUAGGGCGAGAAAACAUAUACUUAACUAAAUUUACUUUAAAAAUUAAAUAAACGAUUACGGGCCGUAAAUAAGCCCUUAAUUUUGUACAUGUGAAAUACAAUGCAAGACAUAAUUUUUCGAUAGUAGAGUAAUUACAUUCACAUUUUGUUAACCGCCUACUAAAGUAGUAAAUUGCCCUUUCUUCACCAAAUUGGUCUUCCUGCGCGACCAUUUCAGCUAUUGAUUCUUUUUCAGUCGAUACGUACACUUUCAUUGGCUGUCCUUGGAUUUGUGACACCAACACUGGUGGACUUGAUAAAUAUGUCUUCAGGCUUUCAAAAGCCUUUUGAUGUUCUUCUUUCCAGACGAAUUCGUCCUGAUUUUUCAGUUUUAAGAGCGACGAAAAGACUUUAAUUCGCCCUGCACAGUUAGAAAUAAAGCGUCUUAAAAAGUUUACUCGGUCUAGAAAUCUUUGCAAUUCUUUUUUGUUGCUAGAUGGUUUGGCCUCUAAAAUGGCCUUCGCUUUAUUUUUAUCAAGUUCAAUUCCUCUUUUGUGUACCAAGAAACCAAGAAAGUUCCCUGCAUUAACACCAAAUGCACAUUUCAAGGGAUUUAACUUUAACUUAUAUUGCUUCAUUAGCUCAAAUGAACAUCUUAACCGUUCGAAAUUGUCUUCUUCUUUAAUGGAUUUGACCACUAUAUCAUCUACAUACACUUCAACAAACUUGCCUAUCAUAUCUUGAAAAAUUAAAUUCAUUGCCUUUUGAUAAGUUGCUCCUAUAUUUUUUAGGCCGAAAGGCAUGACCACCCAUUCAAAACAUCCUAGAGACCCAGGGCAUCUAAAGGCAAUUUUGUGUAUAUCUUUUUCAGCUAUAUAAAUUUGAUUGUAUCCUGAAUACCCAUCCAUGAAAGAAUACAUGACGUGUCCGGCAGUUGAGUCUACUAAAGAAUCCACCGUGGGCAUUGGAUACUCAUCUUUGGGUGUAGCUAUGUUUAAAUUCCUAAAAUCUAUGCACACCUUUAGUUUACCAUUCUUUUUUAGUACUGGCACGAUAUUGGAUAACCAUUCAACAUACCUGGCUAUUCUAAUAAAGCCUGCUUUCAAUAAUCGCUCUAUCUCUUUCUUAAUCUCAGGGAGUACAUUAGGAGCAAAACGUCUAGGAGGCUGCCUAUGAGGUUUAAAAUUAGGCUUAGUUGGUAACCUAUGUUCCAUCAAGUUUCUAUCUAAACCAGGCAUUUGUUCAUAUUCCCAAGCAAAACAAUCUUUAUAGUCCUUUAGCAAAGUGAUUAAUUUAUCACUAACCUCUUGAUUGAGCAUCUGGCUGAUGAAUGUUGGACAGUCUUCUCCUUCAUUACCAAUAUUUACUUUGAUCAGAGAGUCCUGUGCUUGAGCGUAUCCAAGUUGGAUGAUCCGCAUCACUUCGUCGUCCAGUUCCCUUGUAAGUACUUCUUCUUCUAAACAGUCCACCUUGUUGACUUCUCGGCCAAUGCUUUGUUCUAACUCGAAUACUGCCCAUUUGUCUUUCAGUGUUCUUAGGGCUGCCUCUUCUUUCCUUUUGUCCUUACAUUCUUUAUUGAAAGUCAUUAAUUUGGCUUUGAAGGCCUGAAUAUCGACCAUUUACUCUUGUUGCUUAGAACUCAUUCAAGACUCCUUUAUUAUUCUUUUGCCAAUUACUGGCUCUUCUAGAGCUACUAUAUUUGGCAUCAUCUGUCUGAACACUUCAGUGAGUGCGUCCACUGAAAAUGGCUCUUCACUUUGCGUGACAACUUGAGUUUCUUCCCCGUCUUGUACUACCCUGACAGGUCCAUAGUUUUCUUCGUACAUAAACUUUUCCACUGAGCUUGCUUCUACGACAAAAGGCCUAUGAUCGACCUGUACCACCUCUGCUUCACCCUUGUCAUUCCAAAAAAUCAGGCAUUAAUGGAGCAAUGAGGGUAUACAGCGACUUCCGUGUAUCCAAUCUCUUCCUAGUAACACAUUGUAACUAGUAGGACCAUCUAUUACAAAGAAGACUGUGGUCCUAGUAGUUGUACCUAUAGUUAUGUCCAAUGACAUAACUCCCUUAGCUGCAGUUGCUCCUUCAUUAAAACUUGUAAGGAUGACUUCUGUUGGAAUCAUUCCCAUUCUGUCUUUACAAAUUUCCUCAUCAUCCUAGAUGGAAUGGUGUUUAUAGCUGCUCCAUUAUCGACAAGCACUUUUGCUACAGGUAUGCCGUUAACUAGAGUUUUAACGUACAACGGCCUCAAGUGUUUAGUCAAUUUCAUGGCUGACCGUUUAAAAAUAACCUUUUCGGCAGCCUCUAUUUCUACUUCCUACUUGUCCUCUGUUGAGUUAUCCUUUUGUGAUAAGUCAACAUCCAGCAUAUCGCACUGAGCCUCUGUCUUCUGAAUUCUCCUUUUACUAUUUUCUGAUGCUUCCUCUUCAGUUACCCAACCUGUGAGAGGAGGCAUUAUUCUUGGAGGCGAUCCAUACUUUUCAGAACUAGGCACUCUCUUCUUCCUUUUGAGCGUCCCAUACAGCACGUAAAAAUCGAAAGGACGCCCAGAUGGUUCUCCCAGUAAGUCUACUUCGCGAACUCCCUUUCGAUGUAGUUGCUUCAACAGAGUAUUGUGCGAUACUCCUCUCCUUCUUCUUUCUGCUUCUAGGUCGAUUUCUUCUUCGAUGUCUGUCAUCCCAUCGUCUUCUUCAUCAUUGUAGGCCUCUCUAGAAGUCUGGCCUUCUUCAUAUUCCAGCACGCAAGCCUCUCCUUCGUUGUCCUCCAUUUCUUCUUUUUCUUUUUCUUUAUUGUUGAAUUCAUUGGCCAGUAAGUAAUUAUUAGCCACGACAUGAUGUAACGUACCAAACUGGAUAGUAAGGGGCUGAUCUGGAUCUUCUCCAUCCCUUCUGUCUUACUCAAACUUUGAUCUCCCACAAGAAGUUUCUGGCAACUCUUUCAUUGAUUUGUCUGUACCAUUUUCUUCACUGUCCUUGAGAACAUUUUGGUUGGCUACUUUGAGUAGUUUAGGCGCCUUAGGAUGUGACACUCCCUGUUAUUGUCUCAUCAUUCGUCCAUAAUUUCAUUGGAAAUGCCUUUGCUGGGUUCUAGUCAUCUUAUUGAAGGGUAUCGCCUUCCCUGCACUAUACUGGAAUGAAUGUCAUACAUUCGGUCAGCGAGGUUGCGGCCUGAAUGUUCUCCCACUAUUUACUAAUCUGAACUGCCUCUCAAAAGGCGGUCCUCUAUAGAAUGAUGUACCUUGCCCUCUACCAGGCUGAGUGUUUGGGAAGAAAGUAGGGCGAUGGGGAUGCUGUCAUAUCCCUGGUUUCUCCGUGUUCCCACUCACUUCUCUUUUACAUCUUGCACACAGGAAGUCUUCGUCCUUUUUUGGCUCCUUUCCCUUGAUUCGUUCAAAGACAGUGGGAUGUGGUCCAGGGUCUUCUUCUCCAUCAUCUACGACCAACUUCAAUUUUGGCAACUUGUUUUUGAAACCAGACGUUACCAUGUUCACUUCAAGUGGCUGUGGAAAAUGAUUUUCAUCCACUGCCAUCUUCUUCAUAUCAUCGAACGUAAUUCGUCCUGAUUCAAUGACAUCCUGCAAUACAUGGCGAAAAACCAAGCAAUUGUUAGUCAAAUGUGACCAUACAUUAUGCCACUUACAAUAUUUUUUACCCUUAAUUUGUUCAGGGUUUGGCAAUUUAUGCUUAUCGCUCAACUUUAUCUGCUUAUCCCUAUAUAAUUUAUCAAAUAUAAGGUCAACUUUGGUUAUAUCGAACGAGAACAUUCUAACGUUUAUGUUUCCAUCUUUCAUGGGCUCAUCCUUGCCCGAUGGUCUAGGAUUAAGCAUUAUAGGACAAGUAUACGUGUCUCCUUUAACCAAUUCGGCAUACGUGUCUCCUUUGACCAAUUCGGCCAAACACAUUUCGGCUUGGUCGUAUGACUCGUCGCUGAUGGUAUGAACGUCAAAAUUUGGGUCUUUGUAAUAAGUCCCUUUACUAGAAUUUUUCAUCUGCUCUUCUUCGCUUAUCAGUCGUUCAUACCUAAUCACAUUCGCACUCAACUGGAAAAGGUAAGGAAAUUUCUUGUCUUGGAAUUUCUUUUUUAAAUUAAAGCUCAAACAACCCUGAUCGAUUUUGACAAAUUCUUUUUCGGGCAGAGGUACAAAAUAUUUACUUCUUGCUGUCUUGAACUUUUGGAGAAAACUUUUUGCCCAUUCGUUUGACAUUUGACGUAGAUUCGUCAAAUCAGUCAAAGUAACUUCAGACUCAGUUUUAUAAAACUGAACGUGGAAUAAUUGUUUCAAUUGUUGCCAUAUUUGAACAGAGUUCGCUGGCAAGUUGAUGAACCAAGAGAAAGCUACUCCUGUUAAUGAACUAGGGAAAAGCCUCAUUUUAUGAUAAUCAGUUAUGUCACCACUUUGCAGUGUGAAUCGUCCUAUGUGUUCUAGAGUAGACACUUCCCCUAAACCGGUAAACAGUGAAAAUUCUGGCACUUUAUACCCUUUAGGCCAUGGAUAUGCUUGGUCUACCCAAUCAGGAUAUAACUUUGUGUAAGUCGGCCUAAUAACAGGAUACACCCCAAAAGCCAUCUGAUCCUGUAUGAUUUCCAUAAUCUGAUUCCUCAACAUGACGUUGGGGUUAUAUGGAAUUCCUACAGGUUGGUUAACCGGUUGAUUUGCAUGAGGCAUGAUGUUUGGUCCUUGAUUGACAACAAAGUUACCAUGAUUUGGGCCAUUACCAUUAGCCUGAACAUCUAUUUCCUCAUUAACACGUGAGGUAUUCUGUCCAUUAUUUAGGACAUUAUCUCUUACAUUUGGAUUACCCCCCAAGUUAGGCGUACCACUACCAUUGUUCUGAUUUGGCACUGCAUCACCCCUUUGGUUUGAAGUAGAGGGGCUAGAAAGUGGUUCUAUCCCUUGAUUCGGAUUUAGGACUGAGGGAUUAUGUCCCACAAUUGUCCUAGUUUGAAAGUGGUUUGCAAGAGACAGAACCGGUUGACAUAUUUGGCCUACUAACUUAUUUAUUAUUUCAUUCAAAGUGUUUAGUUGUUUGGCCAUGUUCUCAUAAUGUGCAUUCCCAUUUUGAGUAAAUCUUUCCAUAUUAUGAAUAUUUCAAAAAUUUACCCGUUCAACGACAUCUUGUGUGAGUUCUCCAAGUAGUGCAUGCAUAGUUCGAGGACUCAACUCUGUCAUUGGUUCGUAACGACUGUUACUGCUCUGAUUCUGUCUAUCUGUUCAUGGAGAGGCAUGCUACUCCUCAUAUCGCUCGAUCACAGACUGGACUCCUCCCUAACUUGCUGCUUCCUUAUCGGAUCUCUGAGACAUAUUGUUUCACCUUUUGUAUUUUCAACACCAAACACCACUUUCCACUGGGUGUGCUAAAUUGUUUCGCUCGGGUUAGUCGCUAACAAUUAAAAAGGGAUCAGACGAUUGUGUAAGGGACAAACCUCUUGAGACAAAGUCCCAAAAAGGGGCGUUUUUAUUGGCGAUGACUUUACAAUUGGAAAGUAAAAACAGAAUGCCUCCAAGGGGCGCAAGCACACGAGUUACUGUAAAAGAAGUGUUUAAAUCUAAACUAAGAAAUUGAAAGUUACAUAUUCUCUGUUUGAGAGUGUUUGAUUCGGGGUCCUUUGCUCUAUGUCUUUUCUUCCUUUUAUACUUCCUGAAUGAUCUCUUUGUGAUCAAUCGCCUAAAAACUGCUUGAUCGUUCUAUAACUGCCCACUUUCCUCGUAAUGGCCAACUUGUCGUGAAACUGCCUUUUCUAACUGCUGCCAUUACUCUUUGUCGUUCAACCGUCUUCAAUUGAAUUUCUUGAAUCGUGGAACAUGAUAGGGCUGCUUAAUAACUGCUUUGAUAACUGCGCUUCUUGAUAACCAUAACACUUCAUGUUUGCUAAGACCUUGGGCGACUCAAAGGUUUGGGCGAGAAUAGAGUAGCAGCUCUGGGCGACUGCAUGGCACUCCAUUCGCUCAGAUCCUGGGCGACUUGCAAGUUUGGGCGAUGGUGUUACCGCGUUCAUGGGCCUCACUAUUUGAGCCUUCAUCCUGAAUUGUCUGAUUGGGCUUCGUUCUUUGGGCUAUCUGAUUUGGGGAUCCUCUAAUUGGACUUCAUUCCUUGGGCCGUUCGAUUUGGGCUGAAUUAUGUGUCAACAGUAAUCAAUGGUUUUUUUCACUCAAUUCUCUGUACUUGUCAAUUAUUUGUUUGAUUUCCAUUCCUUUUCCAUCAUUCUUGAAAUCAUUAAUAAUUUUAUUAAGGACUGAUGAGCCCAGCAUUUGAAUUGAUGUACCAUACUUCUGUUCUGUAACCUCGAAACUCCUACAACUAAAUACUAUUUAAAUAAGUAUUUGAACUUGUUUAUAGUUGAAGACAGUAAGAGUUUCUCAAAUCUAAACAUGCAUAAACAACAACAAAGGGGAAAAAAAGAAAAGAAAAGAAAACCUAAUAAUCAUUUCAUUUUUAUCUGUUAGAAGCCACCAUAUUUUUGUAAAUCUCAAGCACCAAUCUGUUCUCAAAUUCAGUUCUUGAAUACCUAUUUGGAAUUUAUCAAACGGGAUUCUUUUCGAACCUAAAAGAUUAAUUCUAGAGCCUGUGUUUCUUGCCAGCUUAAGCAUCAUGUCGAUGCAUGCUUUCUUCAAAUAGUACACUCACAGAAAGGGAAACAAAUAAAUCAGUUCAAAACAGGGGCGGGUAUUAAUUUGAAGAGUCUUUACCUUAGAGAAAUAUUUCAAUUUGUAUCCUGGGAUGCUAGCAACUAGAUUGAGAGGUGCUAGCGGUCACGGUGGAAGGCAGAGAGUCAUGAUAGUGAGAGCUGAGCACCGUUAGUCGGCGGUGGAAGAAGGAUAGAGAAGAGAGUAAGAGCUGAGGCGAUGGGGGAAGUCGUGGAGAGGCGGAGUCGAUGGAGAAAAUGAAAUGGGAGAAAUACCGUGUUUCAGGGGUUUGUAUCAGUUUUUUUUUUGUUUCAUUUCAUCGUCGCG